rnacentral:rRNA from 1 species
AUUGAACGCUGGCGGCAUGCUUUACACAUGCAAGUCGAACGGUAACAGGGUGCUUGCACCGCUGACGAGUGGCGAACGGGUGAGUAAUGCGUCGGAACGUGCCGAGUAGUGGGGGAUAACGCAUCGAAAGGUGUGCUAAUACCGCAUACGUACUGAGGUAGAAAGUGGGGGACCUUCGGGCCUCCCGCUCUUCCAGCGGCCGACGGCUGAUUAGCUAGUUGGUGAGGUAAAGGCCCACCAAGGCGACGGACAGGAGCGGGGCUGGGGGGAUUGUCCGCCAAACUGGGGAGGGGGAACGGGCCAGACUCCUACGGGGGGGAAGAGUGGGGGAAUUUUGGAAAAGGGGGGAAAGCUUGUCCAAGCCAGCCCGGGUGUCGGAGAAGGCCUUCGGGUUGUAAAGGACUUUUGUCCGGGAGCAAAUACCCAGUGCUAAUAACGCUGGGGGCUGAGAGUACCGGAAGAAUAAGCACCGGCUAACUACGUGCCAGCCGCCGCAGUAACAC